rnacentral:sRNA from 1 species
GUUACAAAUAUUUAACCCCAUCCACAGGCUCACAGGUUAACCCUUGACCCCAAGCUGGCGGUGCUGCUUUGGGAGGUGGUGGAAGCUGUAGGAGGCAGGGCCUCAGUUGAGGAAGUGGGUCAGCAUGGCUCUGCAUUCUCAAGACACAACAAUCCAGAGGCAGUGACAUGAAUGCUUGCUCCGUGGACAGGUGGAAAAAUGACUGGGGAUAAAGGAUGGAUGAGAGCAGGACCUGCUGUCUCACAGCAGCGCCACACAGAACCCCACCUGCUGUGGAAUGCACACGAGCCAUUUUAGAGCAUGGGGGAAAUGUGGUAAAAUCCUUUAAAAUCUUCCUGACGAGUAAAUUCCUGGAAAGCAAUUAAUGUGGAAGGCUUUCAGGGACCAGAGGGAGUGGCAGAUAGCUUGAAUCCUGUUUCCUGAGUGGUCAGCCACGGACAUCACUCCAAACCAGGUAGCAAAGAGUGUGCUUUUUACAUCUCUGUUCUAGGAAGAACAUUUGCACAACUUCUAGCAACAUUCUUGGGUCAGUGGCCAUGACCCUGAGGCAAUGCUUAGCGCUACAGUGAUCGUUUGACUCCACACGGUACUACAAAAAGUGAAGCAGUGAAAGCCCUGGGCCACACCAACAAGCACGUGACAAGAGAGACGCUUGCUCAUACGACAGAGGCCUGCAUCCCUUAGGCAGAGUACUGACCAUGAUUGGAUGCGAAUGGAAGAAUGUCAACUAAGGAUUGUGUCUAUAUAGAAAAUCAUUAGCCAAACACCACAGGGCUAAUUAAUGUCAUUUGAAAUACUUUCUGUGUAUGUUGAAUAGAGUGCCGCCAUUAUCAUCUGGCCAAACGAAAUGCCUGCCCAUAAACAACAUGGAGCUAUUUAACAGGAUAGCUAAUUACAUCUCGUCUCACAGCCCCAACUGAUCCUAAGCAACAACUCCCUAAGCUGUGUUGUAGUGCAAGGUAGCCUAAGGCUCUGGGGCAGUUACUGAAUCAUGAGAUUUUACUGUUAGAACUUGUUCGGUGUGUUUAAAAACCACCAAAAUAUUGAAUGGAGUAAAGUUACUAGGGAGACCGCAGCUUGGAAAGAGGCAGAGGAGAUCAAGAUAGAGAGGGACACUUCAAAAGCCACGCUCGGGCUCACAGGCACCUGGCACGAAGCUAAGAAUGCUGGGGGAAUGGGAGGGAAAGUACCAAGCCCUGUGCUUUGCUCCAGGUCACCUGGUUCUAUGCGGCACCCUUGUGGGUGGCCUGUGGCAUCUAUGGCUGGAGGCAGCUGCAUGUGUUUCCAUGGUCUUCAGGUGGCAGGUUCUCUUUUUACCAAGCACUUUGUAUAAACUGUUCCCUUCAGCCUUCCUUCUUCACAUACAUUCUAUAGGAGGUUUAUUUUGGGCCCAAGGCGUGCUUCUCUCUGCAUUUGAUCUCAAAGCAAGCUCGUUGAAAAGAGGACCAGAGACCUAGACAAACCUUAUGGACUUGUGUCAUCCUUCUAUGUAUGCAAGAGACACAUUCCAGGUCCCCCCAUAGGCACCCAAGUUCUCACAUGCUCCGCUGUGGCAUUGCCAUAGAUCUGUACACAUCCCAGUGUGUGUAUUUUGAAUUGUCUCUAGACAAGUUUUGAUGAUAUUGCUGUGUCCAUGCCAGGGAGACAUUUGUUAAUGCUGCAUUGUGUUGGGGAUAAAGACAAGGGGAAAGCCACUCAUGCUCUGUGCAGAGGCAUUUUCAGUAAUCCCCCACCAUGGGGGAGGGAGGUCAGUUAAACCCUAGUGUCCAGGUUGGCUUUUUACUGCUGUGAUAAACACCAUGACCAAAAGCAAAUUGGGGAGAAAAGACUUCAUCUUAUGGCUUAUCGUGCAUCAUCCAGCAAGGCCAGGGCAGGAACUUGAGACAGGGACCUGGAAGGACGUACGAACUAAAGCAGAGACCAUAGAGGAAUGCUACUUACUCUCUUGCCUCCACUGCUUGUUCAUACAGCUCAGGACCACCUCCCACAACGAACUCCAUCCCCCAACCCACGUCCACCUUUAAUCAAGAGUCUUUCCUACAAACCAAUCUAAUGGAGGUAGUUUCUCAGCUGAGUGCUACUCCUCUACUAGUUUGUGUCAGGUUGACAAAUACUAACUAGCACCCUGGAUACAGCAGAUGUCAUGGAUACAAAGGGCUGGCUGCAGUGAUGGGACACUGGCCACCUUACUACCUUACUUCCUACCUACGAUGUGUCAAAGUCCAUCUCACUUUAAACCUAAAGGAGAAAAUAAUUUUGAAUAUUUUUCUUGAUUUUUUUCCCCAAAUGGGAUAUGGGAAAAAAGUACAACAUUACUGGGUCAUUAUUGUUCGUUUUCAGAACAAUGACAGAAUCUGAAAUCAUAUGGGAAAUGGACUCUGGGUUGGAACCCAGAACCUUGUCCCUCCCACUUAGGCAUGUGCUCUUACACUGAGCUACACCCUUGGCCUCAUACCUUCAUUUCUAAAAAUAAUGCCAAUGUGUAAUUGUGAGGAUUAAAGUAACAUGGAGACAAAUGAGUACACACUUCAUGUGCAUCAAAGCGGAGUCAUGCUAGGAAUUGCCUGGAGUGGACAUCUGUCUUAGGAGUUGCCAGGGAUGCUCAUAAUGACUCACAAAGUCUUCAGUGUGCUCCUUGACAUACAGUUUGUGUCACUGGUAUGGUCUUGGCCAGCUGCUCUCCAAUGUUUCCUCUAACUGGCUGCUCUCUGGACAUACCAUGAACCCCUCUGAGAACAAGCUUUUGCAGUGUAUCAGGGCCAACACCACUUGGCUUUUGAGAUGCUAUCUAUGUUUUCCAGCUACAGUGGUUUGUGACAUGCCUGGGCCUGUCCCAGUCUAUCCUAUGGAGACUGUUUACCUGCCUUUUUAAUGCUACAUACAUAUUCAGGUAAGCAGCCUGACGAUGAAUGAUGGCUGUAAGAAGCCAUUUCCAACAGUAGGUUGGGGUCUUGGUGGAUCUCAUGAUGCUCUUCUGUGGGGCUUCUGUAGACUUCAAGGACCAGUAAGCAGUUUUCACCCACAUGGGGGUAUGAGAUGUGAGAGGUGUUUUCUUGCUUUGUUCUCUUACAACUUUUCAAAUUAUAUGAAUGUAAUAAAAAGCAUACAUUAUUAAAAAUUUUAACUAGGUAUUUCACAUAUGGAGCUGUGAAGAAUUUCUUUUGGUGCCAAAAUGUCAUAAGGAAAAAAAGUAUGAGCUUUGUGAUUUGUGGACCUGCUAUGUAGGCAAUCUUUUUCAAAGUUGUAUUUUUCAAGAGGUGUUGGAACAUUUUUCUCCAUAAGGAUCACAGGUGGGAAACUCUUCAUAUACUGCUUCUACAAGUUGGAAAUUUUCCUUGUUUGAGGAUAAUGCAGAAAACAUUCAGUCCUCCAUGUUUGGUUGCUUUAUUUCUUCCUUUAGCCACAUUGCAGAGAACUUUCUAGAAAAGAAUUAAGAAUAUGCACCAAGAAACUCAUCACCACAACUGAGCACACAAUGGUGAGCAAGGUUAUCUCUAAAAUUGUACUCUAUACAUUUUUAAUACUCAAAAAGAAACAUCAAUGUGUCUCAUUUUCUAAUUUGUUAGAGAACAUGUCUGGUAACUGAUUAAACAAGCUAUAAAACACGGGGACCAAAGAGCCUCCAAGAACUUGAAAGACAUAUUACUUGGAUAAGCAAGUAACUCAUGAAAGUGAUGCUAUAGGAAAGAAUUUCUGUACAUCCUCCAUGGCUUGGUCCAAGUGAUGAGCCCUUUUCCAGUCCUUCUCAACAGACUUUAUGACCUACGUCGCCUAUUCCUCUCCUUAAUUCAUUAAACUGCAUUAAUUCAAACUAAUUAUCAUUUAAGCCUUUGACUCUAAAUUUCCUGGAUGAAAAUUUUGGAAUCUCUGAGUCAGAUGAACGUAUUACAUAAGUGCGCCCCAAGGAUUCACAAGCAGAAAACACAUCUUAGCGCUCAGUAAUGCCAGGGGACAUUCUUUUAGGGCAUCAUUCCUCCCUGAUUAUCAUUUUAUCUUCGCUCUUCAGUUGCAAGUCUUUCAUGAAGAAUUUGGGCAACGUUUUAAUUUAAAAAAAUUCCACCAUGCUACUUACAAACAUCAUUUUAAAAAACCUUUUAUUCAAUGGUAUACACAUUCAAGUAACAUUUGAAAUUUUUAAAAUAUAUGCUCAGAAGCAUGUGAACCUGCUGCUCUUGGUUAUUUACCUCACACACCCGGCUCAUGGUCACGUGCCCUUCAGGAGCCUAUUCCUGGAACCCCAUUUGGCAGUUUACCCAACAGAGCAAAAUUAAAAUUUAGAUCCUAGCCCCAAAAUGUUAUGUAACCAAAGCUUUGGUUUUUUGUGACCUUGAAGCGCUAGGUCAAGCCAAACAGCUUGAAUGUAAUUGUGUUUAACUGGAAACUCUGUGUCUGUACAUUUUUAAUGUCCCCAGAUUGCCACAUGAGACUCAGUCUUUAAAUGGGAUCCUUCUGAAGAGCAGAUUUCUUUGGGAGACAGGAUGAGGUAAAUAUGUAGAGACUAAUAUGACACAUGACUGUUUUGCAGGAUGACGCAACCAUGCAGUUGUUUUGUGAUUACCAAGCUCAUGAAGAAUGAACAAUAGACAUUGGAUGCAUUGGUUCAUGCUGUAGCCGCUGUAAUCAGGAAGCUGUGGGAGGAAGAACCCAAGUAGGAAGCCAAUCUGGAUACAUAGGGAUAGCCUGUCUAAGAAAACUAAAAAACUGUAUUCUGAAUACAACCCAAUGGCUUAAAGUAUCACUUAUAAGGAAACUGUAAACUUGCAAAACACUUAGAUUAUUUUUCUAAGGUUCCAAAGUAAGUGUAAUCGGUAAAGUUAAAAACUGUGGAGACAAUUAAGAGCAUGUAUGAGUCAGAUACUGGAAGCCUAGAAAGGAUCAAAAUUUAGAUCAAACAUGGGUUCUACUAAGGAUAUGCCCCCUAGCACUGUUUGGUCAAAGACCCACUAAUAUAUCCACCAAUAAUAAAGAGAACCUGUUCAAGUGUGUGUGUGCUGGAAUGACGCUCUUUGCUUUUCCAUUUUUUCCUGUCCAUUUGCCAGUACCAUUCCUUCUUAGUAUUUGUCGUGGUGGAAUGAUGUUCUGAGGACGUCUGAGGUUGGUACUAUGAGAGUUAUUUGUAAUGCUCAACUUGACACAGUGAAGGGAGGGUCAAUGUGGAAACUUCUGGGCUAGGAUGGCCUAUCAGGGGUGUUUGUGGGCAACUGUCAUGGUUACCUGCACAUGUGGGAAGAUCCGUGUGCAGCAUCUAUCUGUGACUUUGGAUCCUGAACUGUUGAGUGAUCAGAAAGUAGCUCAUUGAUUUCUGCUCCCAUUACUGCGUCUUCUCAGCUAUGUUGAACUGUGACCAGGAAUUGUGAGCCAAAAUAAAAAUUGCUUUUUAGGGUUCUUUAUCACAGCAACAAGAAAUAAAACUAAUCUAGAAACUGAACUUUAAGAAUUUAUUUAAACUCCACCUAGCCCAGAAGUUUCCACAUGGAUCCCAGCAGCCAGGAAAUGGAAGGAAAAAAUAUUCAUUCAUGGGGAGACAAUUAUACUUUCUUGAGCCACUGUACUUUCCGGAGUUAUGUCAUUUUACUGAAAUGGAGCCUUAUAAAUGGCAUAGCCCUGGUGUUUAAAAAUAAUGUAAUAUUCUUUGCAGCAUUCUUACAGAAUGAAUGAAGCACAGAUCCUGCUCAUUCUUCCUGUGUCCACUAUCCACACCAAAAGAAGAUCUACCCAAGUCGAAACCAUCACUCCAUCUGUUACUAUCACUCUUUGGAGUUCAGGACCCCAUCUGCUCCCAAGAGAGCAUGGUUGAAGGUCAGGGGUGGAGUCAGGAACAUUGGUUAGCAUGUUCAGCCCGAGUAGCUGCUGAGUCAGCAUCCAUUACAUCAUUUCUGCUCAUUCCCCAGGCCCUUCUCCAGGUCAUGCUGGACUCCUCCCUGCCAUGUGUCCUGCUCUUGGUGUCACCCUGUUCUUUGGCCCCAGUCUCCUCCUGCCGUCCUCAGAUGGAGGCAGACUCCAUGGAUGCCUGUCUUCUGUAUCUGGUAAACAGACACAGGAAAAUUGCUAGUUCAAAGUCAGCUAGAGCCACAAGGUCCCACUUCACAUUCUGAGUAACUGUCCCAGCUUCUGGAGAGCAAACAGAACAUAAGUUAAAACCCAAAACCCAGUGAAGACAAAUACUGACUGAGAAGCUGGAUUGAGAAAGAAUGGAGAAUAAAGCCACAAGAAGAUGGUGGAUGGAGAUCCACCAAUGGCUGCUCUACAGCAGGGAUGAGGAGCGGGUGUAGAGAUGGGCGAACCUGUGACUGACAGACGAGGAGAAGCAUGCUGAUCUUUAUUCUCUACCACCUUACAGGCUAAGGACCGUGACAUGGGAAGGUCAGUAGAGACAUCUAUUCUCCCAGUGAUGCUCAUACGGAAACAAUGUGUGACUGAAGUCAAAUGGAAAUACAAAAGCGUAUUUAUUCCUGGUCUAUGCAGUUCCUUGGACACCUGAUACCUCUCUCCUGCUAACAAGAGUUUCAACAAUGUUCACACACACAGAUGCCCCCAACUGGAGACAUAUCUAUAAAAAAAAUCUAUGAUGAAUUUUACUUGGAGCUAUAACAGCAAAAGUUCAAACAAUAUGCAUUCUUGAAAAACAGAAGAGUAAAAAAUAAAAGAUUACUGUAAUAUCCCAAACAAACAGAGAAGUGGUUGAUAUAUUUCUCUGAAGACUCUGGCUUGAUUCAUGUGUCCCACAGAGCACCAGGGAUCAGGUACCAAUAGGCUGGGUCUCAAGACUUUAGAGUCCCGAGGGUGCAGGGCGUGAGGAGACAAGGUUGAGCUGUAUGAAACAUAAUAGAAAACUUAAAAAUGAAACGAAGAGCGAAACAGCAGAAGUCAAGCAAAUGGCGGACACGGAGAGACACAGUAAGAAAAUGGCAACAUAUUUAGAUGUUGCUGCCUGCCGUGUGCUGUGGCUGCUGUGGCUACUGCUGUGGGACCAAGAGGUGAGUGACCUUCCUUUGGAACAUGGAAGCUUUGGCUAGAUGCCAGUAUCCAAACAUGGUAAACAUGAGACAGACACUGUCACUGCUAUUGUUGCAAAGGACAGAUUUUCAGCACUCGCUGUUGUAGAAUUUAUUUAAUCCCAUUCUAGGGUUCCUACCCUGCCUUGAUUAUUUAGGUUUUGGAUAAAAGACAUAUAUAACUUUAUAUUUAUCAUAAGCUUUAAACUGCAAAAGAGCCUGGCAGAUAUCUAUCCUCUAUGUUAUUAGAAUUUUUUGAUAAACCUGAGUUAUUAUUUGUUGGGUUUUAUUUAGGCUGUUUUUAAUUUCAAUUGACCAGCUCUCAGGGCCUUACCUAACCCAUUGUGGCUAUUCAUUUAUUUAUUGUUUUUUUUUAAUCCUCCAAAGCCCAGGAACACUAAACCCUAAAGGGGGUAGAUAUCUGCUUAGCUUAUGUGCUGUUUCAGGUUUAUUAUAAAAAUGAAAGGUAUAUGUUUUCUAUCCAGGAACUAAAUGAUCAAGGCAGUGUAGAAACCCUGGAUUGAAAUUAAAAUCUUGUAUAACAACUUGCCAUUCAGUCAUCAAUAUAGUUUACUUUCCUCUUGCAUCUUGCAUCUUGUUCAUAAUUUUUAAG